GAUGAACGCUGGCGGCGUGCCUAAUACAUGCAAGUCGAGCGAACAGACGAGGAGCUUGCUCCUCUGACGUUAGCGGCGGACGGGUGAGUAACACGUGGAUAACCUACCUAUAAGACUGGGAUAACUUCGGGAAACCGGAGCUAAUACCGGAUAAUAUAUUGAACCGCAUGGUUCAAUAGUGAAAGACGGUUUUGCUGUCACUUAUAGAUGGAUCCGCGCCGCAUUAGCUAAUUGGUAAGGUAACGGCUUACCAAGGCAACGAUGCGUAGCCGACCUGAGAGGGUGAUCGGCCACACUGGAACUGAGACACGGUCCAGACUCCUACGGGAGGCAGCAGUAGGGAAUCUUCCGCAAUGGGCGAAAGCUUGACGGAGCAACGCCGCGUGAGUGAUGAAGGUCUUCGGAUCGUAAAACUCUGUUAUUAGGGAAGAACAAAUGUGUAAGUAACUAUGCACGUCUUGACGGUACCUAAUCAGAAAGCCACGGCUAACUACGU
rnacentral:rRNA from 1 species